rnacentral:lncRNA from 1 species
GCACACUCGUAUCAGUUAUGUAUUUAAGAGUAUUCCUUAGUUUUAUUGCUGCCUUCCAGAGGCAGCUUCCUGAAGAAAUAUUUGAGGUCCUCUGUAAGCUUCCAGGAGUAGACUGUUUCCUCCGAGAAGGCCUGUUCGUCAGAAGAAGCAAAAGGUUUUAUUCUAGAGACAUGGACUCAAGUCGGAAGUCCUUCCAACGUUAUGACCGUUGGAGUGGACAAGAUAACCUGGGCCCCGGUAUCCAUUCAUCAAGCCUCUAGCACCACGGGAGCCUCCACGAGACACACCACGACUAUUGUAAUAGGGCUGAUUGCUACGUGGAAAUCCAGUGUUCUGCUGAGGAGGCUGCUGGUGGUUACCAGUCACUUGAUGGGACUGGUCCGGGGAACCAUGGUAAGUGCCAACCACUGUUUGAAGCUAUUCUUGCUGAAGCUCUGUUUGUUCUACUUGGUGAGGCUGACUAGAAAAGCUCUGGUUAUAACUGGCCUGGUACUGAUUUUGCUGUUUUAAAGUUUCUGGUUCACAGCUUUUCCAGUUAAAUUGGAGCACUGAACGUUCAGAUGCAUACCAAAUUAUGCAUGGGUCCUAAUCACACCUAUAAGGCUGGCUACCAGCUUUGACACAGCACUGUUCAUCUGGCCAAACAACUGUGGUUAAAAACACAUGUAAAAUGCUUUUUAACAGCUGAUACUGUAUAAGACAAAGCCAAGAUGCAAAAUUAGGCUUUGAUUGGCACUUUUUGAAAAAUAUGCAACAAAUAUGGGAUGUAAUCUGGAUGGCCGCUUCUGUACUUAAUGUGAAAUAUUUAGAUACCUUUUUGAACACUUAACAGUUUUUUUGAGACAAUGACUUUUGUAAGGAUUGGUACUAUCAUUCCUUAUGACAUGUACAUUGUCUGUCACUAAUCCUUGGAUUUUGCUGUAUUGUCACCUAAAUUGGUACAGGUAUUGAUGAAAUCUCUAGUGGAUAAUCAUAACACUCUUGGUCACAUGUUUUUCCUUCAGCUUGAAAGCUUUUUUUUAAAAGGAAAAGAUACCAAAUGCCUGCUGCUACCACCCUUUUCAAUUGCUAUCUUUUGAAAGGCACCAGUAUGUGUUUUAGAUUGAUUUCCCUGUUUCAGGGAAGUCACAGACGGUAGUUUCAGUUCUGAUGGUAUAAGCAAAACAAAUAAAACAUGUUUAUAAAAAAAAAAUUAUUGGAGAUUUUUUUCUUAAUGUUACCAAAACAUCAAAAUCAGUAACUAACUAAAGAAAGAAACAAAAAAGGAAGUAAAAUCAUACAAAAAAAUAACUGAUAAGAGGGAGGAAAUUUAAAUAAAAUCUAAAGAUACUACUUUUCAGACCUCUUUGUAAAUACGUUGAAAACCUAGAAAAAUUGAUAAUUUUUAAUGAAAAUCCACUUACUAAAAAUAAGCUCGUUCGAUAUAGAAAAUUUAAGCAGACCAACUUUCAUAGGAAUAGAGAAAGUUUUAAGGAUUUACCUUACAUUUUAAAAAAGUC